CUCCUACGGGAGGCAGCAGUGGGGAAUAUUGGGCAAUGGGGGAAACCCUGACCCAGCAACGCCGCGUGAAGGACGAAGGCCUUCGGGUUGUAAACUUCUUUGAUCAGGGACGAAACAAAUGACGGUACCUGAGGAACAAGCCACGGCUAACUACGUGCCAGCAGCCGCGGUAAUACGUAGGUGGCAAGCGUUAUCCGGAUUUACUGGGUGUAAAGGGCGUGUAGGCGGUCUUGCAAGUCGGAAGUGAAAUUCCCGGGCUUAACCCGGGCGCUGCUCCCGAAACUGCGAGACUUGAGUACUGGAGAGGAUAGUGGAAUUCCUAGUGUAGCGGUAAAAUGCGUAGAUAUUAGGAGGAACACCAGUGGCGAAGGCGGCUAUCUGGACAGUAACUGACGCUGAGGCGCGAAAGCGUGGGGAGCAAACAGGAU
rnacentral:rRNA from 1 species